GAUGAACGCUGGCGGCGUGCCUAAUACAUGCAAGUCGAGCGAACAGAUGAGGAGCUUGCUCCUCUGACGUUAGCGGCGGACGGGUGAGUAACACGUGGAUAACCUACCUAUAAGACUGGGAUAACUUCGGGAAACCGGAACUAAUACCGGAUAAUAUAUUGAACCGCAUGGUUCAAUAGUGAAAGACGGUUUUGCUGUCACUUAUAGAUGGAUCCGCGCCGCAUUAGCUAGUUGGUAAGGUAACGGCUUACCAAGGCAACGAUGCGUAGCCGACCUGAGAGGGUGAUCGGCCACACUGGAACUGAGACACGGUCCAGACUCCUACGGGAGGCAGCAGUAGGGAAUCUUCCGCAAUGGGCGAAAGCCUGGCGGAGCAACGCCGCGUGAGUGAUGAAGGUCUUCGGAUCGUAAAACUCUGUUAUUAGGGAAGAACAAAUGUGUAAGUAACUAUGCACGUCUUGACGGUACCUAAUCAGAAAGCCACGGCUAACUACGUG
rnacentral:rRNA from 1 species